rnacentral:lncRNA from 1 species
UUCAAAUCAAGAUAUUAGGGAAUGCAUUUGUAAAUAUAUGGGAUACGGUUCUUUUAAGAAACAUGCUGUCAAGAUUUUCUACAAGAUAAGGUUCUUCUUUGUGAAUGUCUAUUAUUGUAUAUUUGGUUUAAAUAGAGUGAAAAAAAUAAUACAAGAGAUACUCAAACCUAUUAUAUGUAACUAGAUAGUUGAUCCGUGUAAUGCAUGAAUGCAUGAGUAUAUUAUUAGUGUUAACUUAUAACAAUUACAUCACAUUAAUACAUUUUUUAUUAAUAUUA